AAACAAAAAGUGCAGUAUAUGCACCCCUUG
rnacentral:tRNA from 1 species